rnacentral:tRNA from 1 species
GGGUGUAUAGCUCUGUGGUAGAGCACGUGUUUAGCAUGCAUGAGGUCCUGGGUUCAAUCUCCAGUACCUCCA